rnacentral:tRNA from 1 species
GGGAAUGUAGCUCAGUGGUAGAGUGCUUCUCUAGCAAGUUUGAGGCCCUGGGUUCAAUCCCCAGCACUGCUC